GCAGAUCUUUGACCUGAAGGGGAGAGCCGCCCAGCUGUGGGCAGGUUGGCUGAGGUCCCCGUGGGGAUGACGGCGCCGCAGAUAAGCCCCGUCCGAUCAGGGCCGCGGUGCUGGAAGUCACUGUGACGCUGAUCCCAGCGCCCGCAGCACACUGCAGGGUUCCCGUGUACAUAGCUCGUCUCGCUCUCGUAGGUCCGUCGUGGAGUUUUCCCUUAUUUCUAUACCUCAACCCCACCAUUUUGUUUUCCAGGAGAUUGGAUAAUGCUGCUAAUUUAUGUAACACCACUUUUGCCUGAAUUUCUUACUGUUGUUAAACCAGCUCACAUCACAACCAGAAAAACGAACAUGUACAUUUCUGAGGCGCUGGGGGCUGAGGACUAACCGUGGGCACUGCUGGAGCCCAAGCACAGAUGACGGUAUAGGCCAUUGCUUUCAGCUUUGCAGGAAGGUAGGGAGGAAAACGUGUACACACAGAGGCACACACUUACACCAAGGAUACACUAUUGUACACAGUUUAUGUCUCAGCGUUGCUGGUGGGAGGAGAAGGCUGCAGCAUGCUGGCUGUCCUGCACGUCCCCCCCUACAUGCCAGCCCUGGUGCGGCAGUGUGGCUGGGCUCUUGUGAGCAGGGCUUGAUAAGGAGGGGGUUCACUGCUUUGCAAGGAGAGGGGCUGGGGGCGGUGGGUGUGCCGGAUGGGGCUGUGCCUCUUCACAGCCCUCCUGAUGGCAGCACUGGGCUGCAUGGUGAUGGGGAGGGCUGUGAGAUGGCACAGUUGUCCAUUGCUUGCAGCCUCUCAGAAGGGAGCAGGGGAGGUUUGCAAGGAUGUUUACAUGUGAGAUUGGCCUUGCUGAAACAAGCAACCUAAAACAUGCACUUUAUCACACCCCCUUUUAUUUCCAGCACCCACCCCAGCCGCUAGCGCAGCUGCUCGUGGGCCCGGUGCCACCCGGGCAGAGCUGUGUGUGCCAUGGGGCAAAAUCCCAUAGCCCCUGCUCAGCCUGCCUCCAACCAGGCAUGGCAGGC
rnacentral:lncRNA from 1 species